UACAGAGGGGGCAAGCGUUGCUCGGAAUUACUGGGCGUAAAGGGCGCGUAGGCGGGCUGGCAAGUCGGUCGUGAAAUCCCUCGGCUCAACCGAGGAACGUCGAUCGAUACUGCUGUUCUUGAGGAUUGCAGAGGAGACUGGAAUUCCCGGUGUAGCGGUGAAAUGUGUAGAGAUCGGGAGGAACACCGGUGGCGAAGGCGGGUCUCUGGGCAAUUCCUGACGCUGAGGCGCGAAAGCGUGGGGAGCAAACGGG
rnacentral:rRNA from 1 species